rnacentral:rRNA from 1 species
GACGAGAAGCUUGCUUCUCUGAUGUUAGCGGCGGACGGGUGAGUAACACGUGGAUAACCUACCUAUAAGACUGGGAUAACUUCGGGAAACCGGAGCUAAUACCGGAUAAUAUUUUGAACCGCAUGGUUCAAAAGUGAAAGACGGUCUUGCUGUCACUUAUAGAUGGAUCCGCGCUGCAUUAGCUAGUUGGUAAGGUAACGGCUUACCAAGGCAACGAUGCAUAGCCGACCUGAGAGGGUGAUCGGCCACACUGGAACUGAGACACGGUCCAGACUCCUACGGGAGGCAGCAGUAGGGAAUCUUCCGCAAUGGGCGAAAGCCUGACGGAGCAACGCCGCGUGAGUGAUGAAGGUCUUCGGAUCGUAAAACUCUGUUAUUAGGGAAGAACAUAUGUGUAAGUAACUGUGCACAUCUUGACGGUACCUAAUCAGAAAGCCACGGCUAACUACGUGCCAGCAGCCGCGGUAAUACGUAGGUGGCAAGCGUUAUCCGGAAUUAUUGGGCGUAAAGCGCGCGUAGGCGGUUUGUUAAGUCUGAUGUGAAAGCCCACGGCUCAACCGUGGAGGGUCAUUGGAAACUGGAAAACUUGAGUGCAGAAGAGGAAAGUGGAAUUCCAUGUGUAGCGGUGAAAUGCGCAGAGAUAUGGAGGAACACCGGUGGCGAAGGCGACUUUCUGGUCUGUAACUGACGCUGAUGUGCGAAAGCGUGGGGAUCAAACAGGAUUAGAUACCCUGGUAGUCCACGCCGUAAACGAUGAGUGCUAAGUGUUCACAGGGGGUUUCCGCCCCUUAGUGCUGCAGCUUACGCAU